rnacentral:rRNA from 1 species
AACGAACGCUGGCGGCGUGCCUAACACAUGCAAGUCGAGCGAGAAAAAGGGGGGCGAACUACCCUCGAGUACAGCGGCGCACGGGUGAGUAACACGUAGGUGAUCUACCCUCCGAGCUCGGAAUAACCUGCCGAAAGGUGGGCUAAUACCGGAUAUGACCACGGGAGUCUCGGCUCCUGCGGUGAAAGAUGGCCUCUACUUGUAAGCUAUCACUCAAGGAUGAG